CUCAGAGCCAGUGAGAGGGGGCCCUGGCUGUUCUAAUGACACACUUUAAUGGGGUGGAGAUUCAAAAAUACAGACCAACAAACAAAAGCAAAAGCAAACACGCAAACAAAAGCAGCACUAACGCAAGCCUGGGAGGCAGAUGCCAGCCGCCUCUUACUUCUGAAUCUGGGAGGCGCUCUUGACCCCAGCGCCCAGUCCGUCCACCCUCCCUUCUGUCCCACACCCCCUGGCCUGGGAACGUCCCGCUGCAGCUCCUGGGGAAGCAGAGCAUCCCCAUGGCCUCUGUGGACACAGGAGCACAUGACUCUUCCUCCAGCCCAAGAAAAUGGGACACACUGCAUUCCGGCACAGCAGAAAAAUUUCCCAUAUGUUACAUCCUGCUCCUUUCCCAUUUCACAGCUUAAAAGCAGAACUCUUCAUUAAUUUGAGGCUCCUAGAGGAGUCAGAUUCACAGCGGUGGAAAGUAGGAUGGUGGAUGCCAGAGGGAGAGAGAAUGACGCAGAGUUGCUUCGUUGCUUCAGAGUUUCAGUUCUGGAAGAUGAGGUUCUGGAGAUGGAGCUGGUGACGGCUGCACAACAGUGUGCGUGUACUUACUGUUACUGACCUGAAAACAGCUAGGAUGGUAAAAAUGGGUAAGAUGGUAUAUAUUUUACCACAAGAACAACUCCAUGUUUAGUGUGGAGAUUCCUUAAAAAGCAGGACUAAAUCUACCAUAUGACCCAGCCACCCCUCUACUAGGCAUAUACCAUGAGGGAACUAUAAUCGAAAAAGACAAAUGUACCAAAUGUUCCCCCAAUGCUCACUGCAGCACUCUUUAUAAUAGCUAGGACAUGGAAGCAACCGAGCUGUCCAUCAACAGAUGAAUGGAUGAAGAGGCUGUGGGGCAUACACACAGUGGAAUAUUACUCAGCCAUAAAAAGGAGCACAUGUGAGUCGGUUCUAAUGAGGUGAAUAAACCUAGAGCCUAUUAUACAGAGUAAAGUAAGUCAGAAAGAGAAAAACAAAUAUCGCAUAUAUAUGGAAUCUAGAAAGCGGGUACGGAUGAAUCUAUUUGUAGGGCAACAGUGGAAACACGGACAGAGAGGACAGACUUGUGGACACGGGGAGUGGAACAAAUGGAGAGAGCAGCGUGGACACAUGUAUAUCAGCGUGUGUAAAACAGAUAGCCAGGGGGAUUUGCUGUUUGACUCAGGAGGUCACACCAGUGCUGUGACGACCUAGAGGGAUGGGGUGGGAGGUGAGAGGCAGGCUCAAGGGGCAGGGGACAUACGUCAUGGAUGAUUCCUGUUGAUGUGUGGCAGAAACCAACACAGGAAUGUAAGGCAAUUGUCCUUCAAUGAAAAAUAAGUAAAAAUUGUAAAGCUC
rnacentral:lncRNA from 1 species